rnacentral:lncRNA from 1 species
CUAUAAAUACCCUAUGAAGUCAAGAUAAAUUUUCACCAUGGAAUAUUUAUUCAUGGACACGGUCAGAGAGAGUCAAGGCAGAAAUAAAGCAUCAUAGGAAAAGGGUUUUAACGUGCAUUACUUUACAACUUUUUAAUAAACGUGGUAAAAUACUUUUGUGCAAGUGGUUUGUUUCCGUACAUUUUUAUAUUCAAUUAAAAAUUUGCAUGAAUUACCAAGGAGCUUUGGGUUCUUUAGAAAGAGAUAUGAAAUCUUUUGAGAAUUGAAGAGGGCCUAAGAUGGGAAUGUCUCUUGAUCAAUGAUAACUCCAUAGAGUGGUAUGAAGUGUAUAAUUUAUUGUUAUAUAAUUAUGUAUUGAAACUGUACGUAUUUUACUGGGUAUUUAAAUACUCACUCUUACAAUAAUUUCGCAGGUUAGCUUGGGUGGAUUGGAACUGUGGUGGAAAGGUGAUGCGGACUACCAAGAGGAUUUGAAAAAUAGAAACGUUAAGUUUUUAUUUAUCUUCCAUUUUAGUAGUUAAUUUUAUUUGUUCAAAGACCAUUUAUUAAUUAGUUAACUGAUUAUGUUUAAAUUUUUUAGAAGCUCGAAUUCCACGUUUUAAUUGAUAUUUAUGGUUGAAAAUACACUUUUAUUUGUGUCGGUUCUGCAUUUAAAGUGAAGAAAAUUAAUUUUUUGGUAACACUCUAGGUUUUAU